UGUCUUCUCUACGUGUCCAAUAAUAUCCUAUCAGUGUGUCCUCCCUUACCUUUUCUCACUGUAAAUAAAUUUCUAGAUCUGAAAACUAUUCUUCUUCUUUCUACUUCUGCUUUUCUUUUUCUUCUUCAACUCAUGAACUGAAUCAUUUACGUUACUUCUAAAGGAAUCAAUGAAAAUAGUAGAUCAAUGAAGUAGUUGGGCUGUAAAUUGAUUUUGGUUAGGGCUUUUUAUCGGGAAGAAAGAUGAAUCCGUAAGAAUCAGGGUUAGGAUUUUUCCUGAAUUGAUUGAGAGAUGAAUUGAGUUUCUAUGAGUUGUGAUUCUGCAGUUCAACAUAAAAUUGAUGAUUUGAAGAUGUUGAUAAAUAAAGGGUUGUGUCAAUUGAAGAGAUUUGAGAGUUCUUUAGGAUACUUCAGAGAAUCGAAGAUGGUGAUGAAGAUUUGUUGAGUGUUAUUAACUAAUAGGGUGGUGAUGGUUGGAGAUGAUGUGAUGAAUCAAGUCAAGGCAAAGAAGAAAAUUAAUCCAAUUGCUCCAGUAAUACUAGUUUGAGCACCUGCUCGGAGAAGUGCAAGUGAUUCCCAGUUUGUCGAGUUCCCAUUGAGGAGAGCUUACUUGUAUAUGAUGAUGAUAUGAUGAUGUAUAGUUUUCACAAUAUACAACUUCCUGAUUUUUCGUUUUCGCUUGAUGGUUAGGGUCCUUGUGUGGUCGAUCGUACAUAAUAAACAAGAAGGAAGUUUCACCAAGGAUUGUUUUUUUUACUCAAUCCUCACUUGAAAUACCUUGGCAGUUGAAAGUCAGUUUGUAGAUUUGUUGCCUAACUUUGUAGCAUGGUUCUUUCUUUGUCGUAUCUACAGUUCGGUUUCAGUGUGAAUAAACAUGUUAAUGACGGAAAGGAAAGAAAGUUGUUUUGUUGAA